AGUGAACGCUGGCGGUAGGCCUAACACAUGCAAGUCGAACGGCAGCACAGUCAGAGCUUGCUCUUACGGGUGGCGAGUGGCGGACGGGUGAGGAAUACAUCGGAAUCUACUUUUUCGUGGGGGAUAACGUAGGGAAACUUACGCUAAUACCGCAUACGACCUACGGGUGAAAGCAGGGGAUCUUCGGACCUUGCGCGAUUGAAUGAGCCGAUGUCGGAUUAGCUAGUUGGCGGGGUAAAGGCCCACCAAGGCGACGAUCCGUAGCUGGUCUGAGAGGAUGAUCAGCCACACUGGAACUGAGACACGGUCCAGACUCCUACGGGAGGCAGCAGUGGGGAAUAUUGGACAAUGGGCGCAAGCCUGAUCCAGCCAUACCGCGUGGGUGAAGAAGGCCUUCGGGUUGUAAAGCCCUUUUGUUGGGAAAGAAAAGCAGCAGGUUAAUACCCCGCUGUUCUGACGGUACCCAAAGAAUAAGCACCGGCUAACUUCGU
rnacentral:rRNA from 1 species